rnacentral:rRNA from 1 species
AACGAACGCUGGCGGCAGGCCUAACACAUGCAAGUCGAGCGGGCGGACCUUUUCGGAGGCGAGCUAGCGGCGGACGGGUGAGGAACACGUGGGAACAUACCUUUUGGUACGGAAUAGCCUCGGGAAACUGGGAGUAAUACCGUAUACGCCCUUAGGGGGAAAGAUUUAUCGCCGAGAGAUUGGCCCGCGUUGGAUUAGCUAGUUGGUGGGGUAAGAGCCUACCAAGGCAACGAUCUAUAGCUGGUUUGAGAGGAUGAUCAGCCACACUGGGACUGAGACACGGCCCAGACUCCUACGGGAGGCAGCAGUGAGGAAUAUUGGACAAUGGGGGCAACCCUGAUCCAGCCAUGCCGCGUGAGUGAAGAAGGCCCUAGGGUUGUAAAGCUCUUUCAGAUGUGAAGAUGAUGACCGUAGCAUCAAAAGAAGCCCCGGCUAACUUCG